CCUACGGGGGGCAGCAGUAGGGAAUCUUCCGCAAUGGACGAAAGUCUGACGGAGCAACGCCGCGUGAGCGAAGAAGGUUUUCGGAUCGUCAAGCUCUGUUGUCAGGGAAGAACAAGUACCGAAGGAAAUGGCGGUACCUUGACGGUACCUGACGAGAAAGCCACGGCUAACUACGUCCCAGCAGCCGCGGGAAUACGUAGGUGGCAAGCGUUGUCCGGAAGUAUUGGGCGUAAAGCGCGCGCAGGCGGUUCCUUAAAUCUGAUGUGGAAUCUUGCGGCUCAACCGCAAGCGGUCAUUGGAAACUGAGGAAAUUGAGGGCAGAAGAGGAAAGCGGAAUACCACGUGUAGCGGUGAAAUGCGUAGAGAUGUGGUGGAACACGAGGGGCGAAGGCGGCUUUCUGGUCUGUAACUGACGCUGAGGCGCGAAAGCGUGGGGAGCAAACAGGAUUAGAUACCCUAGUAGUC
rnacentral:rRNA from 1 species